AGGCAGGGACAGAGGGACAGGCAGGGACAAAGGGACAGGCAGGGACAGACAGGGAGAGAGAGGACAGAGGGACAGACAGGGACAAAGGGACAAAGGAACAGACAGGGACAGAGAGGAAGAGAGGGACAGACAGGGACAAAGGGACAAAGGAACAGACAGGGACAGAGAGACAGGAACAGAGAGAGGGACAGAGGGUCAGACAGGGACAUAGGGACAGAGAGGGACAGAGGGACAGAGAGGGAGAGAGAGGAGGGACAGAGAGAGAGCAAGAGAGAGACAGAGGGAAGGAGAGACGCAGAGACAGAGAGAAACAGUGACAGAGGGACAGAGGGACAGACAGACACAGACAGACGUUGCUAUUUUAAGGAAUUUGGUGAAAACGUGGAGAACCAGAUCCGGGGCGGGAGGUCCAUCUGAGAGACCGGCCACUGAGGCUGCCCAGGGGGCACCAGCAGGCCACGGCGGGACCCAGCGGAGCCCCAGGGAGGCCAGGCCACUCCAGGGCCUUCUGCUCCGCCCAGCGAUGGCGUCACGAUGUACAGAGUAAGUCACCCAAGGGGGGCUUCGGGAAGAGGGGCCGUGCCCAGUGGAGGACGCCCAGGCCGGCAGUGGCCCCAGCUCCAGGCACCGUGGCUGCCUGGACCAUCGUGCAGCCAUUUGGGAGACCGCUCUAGAGUGAAGCCUCCAGUGACCUCCAGGCCCCACCGCCUGGCCUCCGGCUGGCCCCGGGCCGGAAGGGCUGCGUCUGUCACGAUGUCAAAGCACGUCCCUCACCCACAGGGCCUCCGUCAUGCGCGUGAGUGAGUGUGAGCAUCACCUAGGACCUCACCCGUGUCCCACAUGAGGCUCUCUGAGAUGGACCUGGGACUGGGAUUGUCACCGGGACCCAGGGCUUAGGGCAGCCCUGCUCUGAGGGACACUCCGCUGACCUGCGUGGCAGGAGGGGUGCUGCUGGAGGCAGGGUCCAUGAGCAAGCCCACCCCAAAGGGGCACAGCUGCCCCAGAGCAAGGGCCCAGAGUCCAGGGCUGUCCCAGGAGGGGUCCUCGGGGCUGCAGGCAGCUGGCCCUGGCACGGGCCCAGGAGCCACAGGGCUCAGAGGGGAGGGCCAUAGGGCCUGUGGGUGGACAACCGUGUCACAAACCAGGCUGGGGACAGGGGCUGUGGCCAGGAGGUGGAGGGUGUCCCGUGAAGGGCUGGGCAGCAUGAGGGGUUCCCCAGAGGAGGCUGGUGCCCACAGCUGCCCUAGCCUCCUGGUGGGUGGCAGUGUCCGUGGGUCAGACAAGGGGGAGGCAGCCCUGGCCAGGCUGACCCUGGGUGGUCUCCCUUGGACCGACCAAGCCUCUGCUGGGACACUGCCCCCAGGUCUGGUCUUCCGCUGGCAGGUCCACCUCGGGGCUGCUCAGGGUGGGUCAGCUCUGGGUCCUGCCAACGUGGGUCCUGGAACCUCUGUGCCGAGGUCGGACCUCUCCUGGCACCACGGUGGGCACCUCAGGAUGGGAAGGAAGAGGGGCAGGGACCUGGGAGUUGGCUGGCACGGUGCAGCUGCAGGAGGGAGACUGUCCCCAGGGUGGGGACGGGGACAGGGGCCUGGCUGGCCCCAGCCCAGCAGGAAGGAGAAUAGCAUUUGGGGCCACUGGAGAGUCGUGAACCCCAAGCCGCUCUGUGACUGGACGUGGGGAUGUGGCUGGCCUCCUGUGGGGGCUGGGGACCCCAGGGCUCUUGGUGGCAGCCUUCAGCACCACAGGGGCCCCUCUCGACGUGGGUGUCCGGGGCACCCCGGGGGACGCAGGGCUCUGGGCCGCUCUGCCCACUGCUGAUCCAGAACCUGAGAUGGAAGGGGGCCCAGGCCCAGGACAGCAGGACCCCCAGCCUGGCCUGCACCCAGGGCCUGUCCCCUUCUUCCAGCUGCCUUCGCUUACGGACCCAGAGGUGGAGGACAACAAGGGGAUCUGGGAGACGGCCCCGUGGUCACUUCCAGGGCAGGAGCUGCAGAGUUGAGCUACACAAGUCCACCACCAGCCGCGUCCACCUCACAUCCCCCAUGGUGACCAAGACCCUUUCCCAGGGCAGAGUGACCGAGGCAGGUCCUCUCUCCAGAUGCUCAGCCCCCAGGAUGGACUCGGGCCACAAGCUGGGAGGGGUCGGCUGCGGGCACAGGGGUGUUGGGCAAAUGCAGGCACAAGAGAGUCAUGUGCCUGCAGCCCAGUGCCAGGGCCGUGCAUGGACACUGUCUUCCCGCCUGGCCCCUCUUCUGCUGCCUGGACGGGCUCCUCUCGGUCGGGGGCACGGUGCAGGCAGCCGCAGGGCCGUCUGCCCUGAGACGCUGGCCCAGCUCCGGUGGAGACUGGGUCACCCCCGCUCUGACCGAGCAGGCUCGUCCUUGGAGCGUCUCUCUCAGCUAUAAAUACACAUUUGAGUCAGAAAAUCAAACGCUUCCAACCCAGCAGCCGGCCCUUCCCAGAGGCUCCGCGCGCGGUGGGGGUCAGGCCCUCCCUGCCCAGCAAGGCCUACUUUCCAGGGCAAGCAGAGUUGAGACGGAAAACAAUGAACACAGAAAGGCCGCUGCCCCUCUGGUCCUGGGCUCCUCUGCUGGCAGAUGGUGACCGCAGGCCCGGAGAGCAGGGCUGAGGAGCCCUGUGAGGGCCUGACCCGCCCCGCCCCAGCCAGGGCGAGGGCCCCAGAGGACGGUCAGCAGAGAGGCCACCACUGAGCCAGGUGCCUCCAGGGACCUGGCCUAGAGCCGCAGAGGGUCCAGGAGUCCCCAACUCCUUCAGCUUCCACAGAGACUCUGGCCCCUGACCUCUCCAGGCCCAAGCCCCCGGCAGUGGGCACUCAGAUUUCAUGGGCUCCCAGCUUGAACGAGCGUCCUGCAAAGUAGCCAGGGCCACGAGCCUCCGGUCAGGAGCGGUGUCUGGGGCCGGGCAACCUUGCCCUGCCCUGGCUUGGAUACCUCUCCCCUCCAGGGACGCUCCACCCAGGUGGGUCCCCAGCGUGUAGGUAGAAUUUUCUAUAAAUCAGGAACGUGUCCAUUAAACGUGAGCUCACUGUGGGGCAGGCAUCGGCCGGAGGAAGGGCUGGCCACGGCCAGCGUGGCUCCUUCCACAUCCUCAGGGAUGUCCGUGCCUUCCCACCCUGAUGGUCUACCACUCACACUGACCCCUGCCUGGUCCACCCCCCAGGGUCCUCCCUGCAGGCAGGCCAGCCCCUGAGGUCCCAGGGGAGAAGCCACCAAGCCCUCCCCGCUGCCUCUGGCCUCCACAGUUGUAGCCACACCGCACCAGGCCUUCUGUCCCCAGAGAGGGGCUUCUACCCUGUGGAACAGGAAGGGGCUGCCCCUGGGGUCCCCAUACCAGAAUCAGGACCUAAGCGUCCCCCAGGUCACCUGAUUCGGAGAAGCGACACCCUGAAUGUUUUCGGAAACCCACCCGUGGGAGCUCCAAGCUGUCCGGGAGGAGGGACGUGACCCUGGGGAGGCUGGGGUUCCUGGGCUGGUUCUUGGGCAACACCUUUGUGAUCCCAAACCUCGCCGUGCGCCCUUCCGUCUCCCCGUGACAGCACAGGCUUGGCGCUAACCAAGAGCACGCUGGUUUGUACGCGGAUCACGGUUUCACACACCAAGUCGGCUCUCGGCCCACGACGAGGAUUCAAAUGGAGCAGCCGCUGCCAACCCUGCAGCUCUUGUGAUCCAGAAACACGCAUCCUUGUAAGGGAAGGCGGUCUGAAGAGGAGGCAGAGAGCGGCGGCCAAGAGCCAGAGAUGCCUGGAGCCUCCAGGAGGCAGGAGAAGCUCCCCAGAGCAUUCUGUCUGCUGCCCGAGGAGGGAAUAAAUCUUGUUCUCAGCCAGCGUCUGCAGCAGCCACAGGACACUUGCACAUGCUUCCACCCAACCCCAACAUUCACCCCUGAGCUCAAGGCCCAUAGGUGGGCCAGGCCCUGCAAGAAGAGAGGCUGGCCUGCAGAGGGACUGCUGCUGAGUGCCCAGGGAGACCAGGGCCAGCACCCAGGGCUGGGGGCCUCUGCUGGCACAUGCCCAGGGAAGAUGGCAAGGCACUGCACUGUAGUCGGAGGCACAUUCUUACUGGAAAAGGUCCCUGGGUGCUUCUAGAAGGGGAGUGUUCAUCUCUAGGCCCCACCCUCUGACCACGCCCACUGCAGGAGGAAGGAGGCACCGGAAUUCUGGUACACCUCCUGGUGGGCCCCCGGCCCCAGGAGCCCAGGGCCAUGCUGGGGACCUCAUGGCCCCCUGUACCUGGGAUCCACGUGUGCAGAGAGGGGACACUUCCAGCACCUGGCUCUGCUGCUGCAGCAAGAGCCCCGGAGCUCCCUGUCUGUCAUACUCUGCCACUGGCAGUCCCUUUGCACAUCUGACCUUCGUGUGACCUUUGGGCUUGAGCCCUCUUGCUCAGAUACCCUGCUCGCUGCCUCAGUGACCACGGAGGGAAGCUGGUGAUGCCCACAGCCCUUUCCAGAAGGCCCCUGCUCUCUCGGCAGCUGGUAGGGAACACGUCUCACCACCUGGCUCCAGAUCAUGACCUAGUGUCCCCGAGGAGGUCACGCCCCGGUGGCUCCCACCAACCCAAGCGGCAGAAGAGACUGAAGGCAGGUGCCGGGCCUCGCUGCAGACCCCUUCCCCCCAGGGCUGCCCGCUUUCCACGCCAGCCCACGUUCCCCAGUCCUGGCUGCGCUGCUCCUACAGAUGUCCCCGAGGAGGCCUCUGGCUAUACAACAAGGCCCCACUGUCACAGAGGCCUGUGCCCAGCUGGACUGCAGUGGGGACAGGACACCCUGUGGAAAGGCAGCAGCCCCCGGCCCUGAGGACGCUCCUGACCCUCCAGCCUCCCAGGAGUUCAGCUCUUGCUGCUGUCUCCAGCGUGAAUGACCAGCCAUGCCCACUCCCAUCCGGGUGCAGAAGAGCUGCUCACUGGCCAUCUGCCAGGAAGGGCCUGACGCCCAGCCCCGGCCCCGCACAGCGGCUCGCCCCCGGCACCACACAUGGCUGCUGAGCGCAGUCCCCAGGUCCCCGGGUCCCACGUGCUCUGACAUCUACCUGCUGGACAGAAGGGCCAUGGGUCCUGUGGGGCAGGCUCUGGGCUGCACCUUCCGGCUUCCUCUGGGCCCUCAGGUGAAAGGUCCCCUUGCUGAAGUGCAUGGGAAUCGCAGCCUGCCCUGCACGCUGGCAAGUUUUCCUGCGAUACGUGCGUCCGCAGGCGCGACGGCUGCCCGGCCAUCAGCAGGACACAGAGAGGGUGCACCUAGACAGCAAGCCCCACCCUAUCUCAGGCCUUCAGGGCUGCGACCACAACCCACAGAACAGCCUAGGGAGGUCGGUCGGGCCCAGGCUUUCAGAGGCUGGGCCCACGGCUGGCCACUCCACGGCUCCGGGCGGAGCAAGAGAACACCAUGGGGGGAGGGGUGGCAGAGGAAAGCCGCUCACCUCUUAGUGGCCAGGAAGGGCCCCAUGCGCCCAUCCCAGAAACCCCCGGGAGCCCUCCUCCAGCCACACCCACCUGCUGCAGUUACCACCCGGUCAGCCAUCCGGACUAGGAUGGUAGGCUCAGCUGGCCGUCCACUCACCUCUGCACAUUCCUGCCCUGACACGGGCUGGGGCACCUCUCAUCCUCGCCACCGUGAGCAGCACUCGCACCCGGCGCUUCUUGCACCAGCCAACUGCCCACAUGGCUCCACCAACCAGGGAAGACCUAUGGCAACCCCGUCCCCUUAGCUGACCUUCCAGAGGGGCUGGAGGACUGGGUGGCUGUGCUGUGGCCUGAGCGGCCAAGGGGGAGCAGUGUGGCCGCCAGUCUGCCCUGCCCGGCUCAUCCGCAAGUCUGAGCACUUGUCCCCUGCCAGGGUUCUUGGCCCCUGACCCCAUUCUCUGUUCAUUCUGGACUUGUGGCCAUCCCGAAGCCAGGUGAGGACUACACUUAUACUCGGGCAGUGGGGUGGAAACAGAAGUGGCCGGUGCCUCUCAAGGAAUGUCCCAGCAGGCAGAAGCAUCGUCCUUCUAACCUCUCUCAGGUGGGCUGUGGAUAUGAUGGCUGGCAUGUGGACAGUUCUUGGACUGCGAGCCAGCCACCAAGUGUUGAGGAUGACAUACAGCAGGACACAGAGAGGGUGCACCCCGCUCUGGGACGCCUGGAGAACGGAGGCCCUAGCCAUUCAAGCACCCCUCAUGCUUUCUCCCUGCCACUCUGUGGACUCUCCUGGGCUGUGGCCUACAAUGGUGACGGGGGACCCUGCCUCCUGUGCAGGGAGGGCUUCCGAGGGUCUGCCGUGAAGGUCCCACACAGGAGGCGCUUUCUCUGGGAAGCACUCCUCCCUCCACUCUGAGUCACUUCUUUUCUGUUAGGACCACCUUCUUGCACACUGGUAAAACGUGCCAGAGAAUAAUCUAGGCCAGGUUCUUUGAAAGAUGUUAAUCUACGGAGGCAAUUAGGUUAAUGGUUACAGGACGUGCAAGUUAUUUACUUCUUGGCUUUUGUUACAUUUCUCUAGAAUUUUGUCCACUUCAACCAAGUUUAAAUGCAUUAGCAUAAAAGUCUUAGUGCUGCCUUUGCAACCCCAGAGGUGAGGCUGUGUCAGGUCCUGCCCCUAGGAGUACACCGAGCCUUUUAUCUGCAUCAGAAUUACCAGAGGUUUGUAAUUCAGCCAUUUUUCAAGGAAUCCCCCUCUAGCGAUGUUGACCUCCCCCCCCCCCCAGGGAGAACACUACUCUACAGUUGAGGCUCUUAAGUCCCUUGAGUUCCCCAAAGUGAACCCGGCCCCUGCCCAGUUGGUCCGUGCCCAUCUCACUGUGCCCUCACCAUUUCUGCUGGCUGGCGGGUGGAGGCUGUACGCUUCGUGAUUUUGAGCUGGGGUCUUCCUGUGUCUUGGGCUUAUCUGUGGCAAAGCCUGGAAGCCUGGGUUGACUCGGUUUCCCCCACAGAGGACUUGUGCUUGCAGCAGUCUGAACCCACCUACACCAAGUCCUGGCUUUCAACCGCCAGAGAGUGUGAACUUGGGACAGCCACCUCCUGGGCCAGUGGAGGUCACAGACCUCAAGAGAGAGGCUUUCUCCUCUGCUCAAUCCCCAUUCCAAGCAAGUUCCAGGGAGUGGGCCACCAGGCACUAUUCUAGCUUGUCCUUAGGUGGAAGGUAUGUCCCCUAUGAGGGUGGGCUUCUCCCACUAGACUACCUUUCCCAGUGGGCUCUGGGCUGUCUCUCUCCCACCCGGGCCUCCAGGCCAAGCCCGAAUUCAGGUUUAAAAUCCAGCAGAUGCUAGUCCAGGAUGGCGGCUUCAGGCUGCCCUGAACCCCAUUCCUGCAAACACUCCAGGUCCGGCUUCUGAGAGCUCCUUCCCCAGCUGCCAGCUCCGUGGGGACAGCACCUUGUGCCUCCAGGGGGACUGACGUGCCCUGCCGGGAUGAGUCCCAUCUGCACGACCCCACUGGGAGCUGGUUGUGGGCGCGGGGAGCCGCCUUCUCCUCCGCUGGCUCUGCUGGCUCCGGGUCUGUCGCCCUCCCUCGGUGCCGGCGGGAAAGCGGCAGCCGCAGUGUGGGAACAGAGACCCAGAGUGCUCUGACGGUGCCACACUGCCUGAGCCCUGGUGGCGACAGCGCGUGUGGGAGCCAACAACCCGCCUCUUCCCAGCGCCGCUGCCCGCCGGGGCCCGUCUGGGAAUGCGGACAGGGCCGGGCCGGGGCGAGUGUCCACCCGGCCGGCCAGAGCCCGCCACAGGCGC
rnacentral:lncRNA from 1 species